UACAGAGGGUGCAAGCGUUAAUCGGAAUUACUGGGCGUAAAGGGCGCGUAGGUGGUUUUAUAAGUCAGAUGUGAAAGCCCCGGGCUUAACCUGGGAACUGCAUAUGAAACUGUAGAGCUAGAGUGAAGUAGAGGGUAGUGGAAUUUCCGGUGUAGCGGUGAAAUGCGUAGAUAUCGGAAGGAACACCAGUGGCGAAGGCGGCUACCUGGACUUUAACUGACACUGAGGCGCGAAAGCGUGGGGAGCGAACAGG
rnacentral:rRNA from 1 species